UACGUAGGGUGCGAGCGUUUGUCCGGAAUUACUGGGCGUAAAGAGCUCGUAGGUGGUUUGUCGCGUUGUUCGUGAAAACCGGGGGCUUAACCCUCGGCGUGCGGGCGAUACGGGCAGACGUUGAGUACUGCAGGGGAGACUGGAAUUCCUGGUGUAGCGGUGGGAAUGCGCAGAUAUCAGGAGGAACACCGGUGGCGAAGGCGGGUCUCUGGGCAGUAACUGACGCUGAGGAGCGAAAG
rnacentral:rRNA from 1 species